CUAAUCCAGACAUCCUCCCCUGGCUGAGAUAUAUGAUCAACUUUGAUAUUUGAUCAAGUUCAUCGCCUGCCUUUGAUUUUCUAAGUUCUUGGCCUGCCUUCAACAAGAAUUUUGUUAGGUGAGUUCAGCAAGAUGGUUCAUACACUUGAUAUCUUCUCUUAGUAACUUUGCAUCCAUUGACCUGCUCGCUUUGCUUGUUGGCUAUAAAUCCCUGUCUUUGCUGUAUUCAGAGGUGAUCAUGAUCACUUUCCCCUAUUGUAAUUGUCUUGACAUCUCUUGCAAUAGUCCUGAAUAAAGUCUUUCUUAUCAUUUUAUCCUUGCAGUGUUGGGUCAGGUUUCGAGGAUGAAAGUGUCAGAAUAAGUUUUUAUUUAACACCAUAUCUAGCAACACUUCAGGGUAAGAACUACAGCCUGAGACUCCACCUGCUAUGAUUUGAAUGUAUCCCACAAAUUUCAUGUGUUGAAAAUUUAAUCCACAAAUUCA
rnacentral:lncRNA from 1 species